GCUGCAAGUCGAACGAAUCCCAGCUUUGUAGCAAUACCGAGCUGGGGGAAGUGGCGAAAGGGGCAGUAAGGCGUGGGUAACCUUCCCCGGGGACCGGGAUAGCCUUUCUAACGGAAGGGUAAUACCGGGCGAUGUGGCUGAAGCGCAUGCUUUGGCCAUGAGAUGAAUUUCGCCUCGGGACGGGCUCACGUGGUAUUAGCUUGUUGGUGGGGUGACGGCCUACCAAGGCGAAGAUGCCUAGCAGGUGUGAGAGCACGACCUGCGCCACUGGCACUGAGACACUGGCCAGACUCCUACGGGAGGCUGCAGUCGAGGAUCUUUGGCAAUGGGCGCAAGCCUGACCGAGCGACGCCGCGUGCGCGAUGAAGGCCUUCGGGUUGUAAAGCGCUGUCGGGGGGGAGAAAACCGCAAGGUUGAUCUAUCUCCGGAGGAAGCACGGGCUAAGUUCGUGCCAGCAGCCGCGGUAAGACGAACCGUGCGAACGUUGUUCGGAAUCACUGGGCUUAAAGGGCGCGUAGGCGGGCUGCCAAGUCCGGGGUGAAAUCUUUCGGCUUAACCGGAAAAGUGCCUUGGAUACUGGCGGUCUGGAGGGAGGAGGGGUAUGUGGAACUUCCGGUGGAGCGGUGAAAUGCGUUGAUAUCGGAAGGAACGCCGGUGGCGAAAGCGACGUACUGGACCUCUUCUGACGCUGAGGCGCGAAAGCCAGGGGAGCGAACGGGAUUAGAUACCCCGGUAGCUGGCCUAAACGAUGGAUACUUGGUGUGACUGGGAUUGAAUCCAGUCGUGCCGAAGCUAACGCAUUAAGUAUCCCGCCUGGGGAGUACGGUCGCAAGGCUGAAACUCAAAGGAAUUGACGGGGGCCCGCACAGGCGGUGGAGUAUGUGGUUUAAUUCGACGCAACGCGAAGAACCUUACCUGGGCUCGAACGGCUAGUGACAGGGGGCGAAAGUCUCUUUUCCCGCAAGGGACACUAGUCGAGGUGCUGCAUGGCUGUCGUCAGCUCGUGUCGUGAGAUGUGGGGUUAAGUCCCGCAACGAGCGCAACCCCUGCCUUUAGUUGCCACCAGGUCAAGCUGAGCACUCUAAAGGGACUGCCGGUGAAAAACCGGAGGAAGGUGGGGAUGACGUCAAGUCCUCAUGGCCUUUAUGUCCAGGGCUACACACGUACUACAAUGGGCGGCACAAUGAGUUGCAAACCCGCGAGGGGGAGCCAAUCUCAAAAAACCGCUCUCAGUUCGGAUUGCAGUCUGCAACUCGACUGCAUGAAGCUGGAAUCGCUAGUAAUCGCUGAUCAGCAAGCAGCGGUGAAUACGUUCCCGGGCCUUGUACACACCGCCCGUCACAUCACGAAAGCCCGUUGUACUAGAAGCCGGCGAUUCGACCGCAAGAGAUA
rnacentral:rRNA from 1 species